rnacentral:rRNA from 1 species
CAUGGCUCAGGAUAAACGCUGGCGGUGUACAUAAGACAUGCAAGUCGAACGGGAGAAGACUGGAAGAUUUAUCUACUAGCUCGGACACCGUGGCGGACGGGUGAGUAACACGUAAGCAACCUGCCUAUAAGAGGGGAAUAACAGUGAGAAAUUACUGAUAAUACCGCAUAAGCUGGAGGUAUCGCAUGAUACAUUCAGAAAAGAUUUAUCGCUUAUAGAUGGGCUUGCGUCUGAUUAGCUAGUUGGUGAGAUAACAGCUCACCAAGGCGACGAUCAGUAGCCGGAUUGAGAGGUUGAACGGCCACAUUGGGACUGAGACACGGCCCAGACUCCUACGG